rnacentral:rRNA from 1 species
AGUGAACGCUGGCGGUAGGCCUAACACAUGCAAGUCGAACGGCAGCACAGUAAGAGCUUGCUCUUACGGGUGGCGAGUGGCGGACGGGUGAGGCAUACAUCGGAAUCUACUUUUUCGUGGGGGAUAACGUAGGGAAACUUACGCUAAUACCGCAUACGACCUACGGGUGAAAGCAGGGGAUCUUCGGACCUUGCGCGAUUGAAUGAGCCGAUGUCGGAUUAGCUAGUUGGCGGGGUAAAGGCCCACCAAGGCGACGAUCCGUAGCUGGUCUGAGAGGAUGAUCAGCCACACUGGAACUGAGACACGGUCCAGACUCCUACGGGAGGCAGCAGUGGGGAAUAUUGGACAAUGGGCGCAAGCCUGAUCCAGCCAUACCGCGUGGGUGAAGAAGGCCUUCGGGUUGUAAAGCCCCUUUGUUGGGAAAGAAAAGCAGCAGGUUAAUACCCCGCUGUUCUGACGGUACCCAAAGAAUAAGCACCGGCUAACUUCGUG